CAUUUACGCUGCAACCUGCAAGCCGGCCGAGGGAGGGGGCGAUGGGUUCCGACGCGGCGGCGGUGAGCACCGUGCGGGAGGCUGCGCGCAUGACGUGGGAGGAGUCCAAGCGCGUCUGGGGCAUCGGCAUGCCCAUUGCCAUCGCCGGGCUCAGCAUUUACGCCGUCGGCUCCGUCACCACCAUCUUCGUCGGCCACCUCGGCAACCUGCCCCUCGCCGCCGCCUCCAUCGGCCUCUCCGUCUUCGCCACCUUCUCCCUCGGAUUCUUUCUCGGCAUGGGGAGCGCUCUGGAGACGCUGUGCGGGCAGGCGUUCGGCGCCGGCCAGGUGUCCAUGCUCGGCGUCUACCUGCAGCGCUCCUGGAUCAUCCUCGCCGUCGCCGCGCUCCUCAUGGUGCCCUUCUACGUCUUCGCCGAGCCGAUCCUCCUCGCCAUCGGCCAGGACCCCGCCGUCGCGCGCGAGGCCGCCCGCUUCGCCCUCUACAUCCUCCCCGGCGCGCUCUCCUUCGCCGUCAACUUCCCCACCGCCAAGUUCCUCCAGUCGCAGAGCAAGGUCAUCGUGCCCGUCUGGAUCUGCGUCGGCAGCCUCUGCUUCCACGUCGCGCUCUCCUACCUCCUCGUCACCGUCCUCGGAUGGGGCUCCCCCGGCGCCGCCGUCGCCUACAACCUCUCGCUCUGGGCCAUCGCGCUGGGCCAGUCCGCCUACAUCAUCGGCUGGUGCAAGAACGGCUGGAGGGGCUGGUCCAUGGCCGCCUUCAACGACAUGUGGGCGUUCGUCAGGCUCUCGCUCGAGUCCGCCGUCAUGAUCUGCCUUGAGAUCUGGUACCUCAGCACCAUCACCGUCCUCACCGGCAACCUCCAGGAUGCGCAGAUUGCCGUCGACUCCCUUGGCGUCUGCAUGAACAUAAACGGGUGGGAGAAUAUGAUCUUCAUUGGCAUCAACGCUGCUAUCAGUGUUCGAGUCUCCAAUGAGCUGGGCGCUGGCCGUCCAAGGGCAGCCAUGCACGCCGUCAUCGUCAUCAUCGCCGAGUCGCUGCUCAUCGGGCUGCUAUGCAUGGCCCUCGUCUUGAUCUUCAGAGACAACUUCGCCAUCAUCUACACCACCGAUUUGGAGCUCCAGCACGCCGUCUCCAAGAUCGCCGGACUCCUUGGCCUGACCAUGGUGCUCAACAGCGUGCAGCCUGUGGUUUCAGGCGAGAAUAUAUUUUAGAGCAUAUGCACCCAGACCCUCUCUAUCCAGCCAUCCAUUUUUUGCUUUAAGAUCUGUGCAAGUACAUUUCUCUUUUUUGUUUCUCCCACAUAGAACAUAUCUAGAAGUUCAAACCUAUGCGGCGUGACAAAGCUUUCUGAGUAGAAUCUAGGAUAAAUCGUACAGUUUUUUUUGUCAAACAUAAAUAUACAAAAUACGUUUUUUUGAUUAAAAAAUCAUAUUUUUAGUAUUUACGUCGGACAAAAAAAUCUGAAAGAUUUAUCCUAGAUUCUAGUUAGAAAGCUUUGCCAUCCUGCAUAGGUUCCAACUUCAAGAUAUGUUCUAUGUGGGAGAAGCAAAAAAGAGAAAAUUUUGUAUAGAAACUUAGUUGUACCGCACAGAUCUUAAAGCGAUAUUGGAGAGCUAGGAUAGCAGGGCCUGGAUGCAUAUGCUCUAAAAAUCCACGUCCGUGGUUUCAGGGGUUGCUGUUGGAGGAGGAUGGCAGGGCCUUGUUGCAUACAUCAACCUAGGCUGCUACUAUGUUUUGGGGUUGCCCUUGGGCUAUCUUCUCGGCUACAAGUUCAACUAUGGCGUUGGGGGGAUUUGGGCUGGCAUGCUUUGUGGGAUUGCACUUCAAACUCUGAUUUUACUCUUCAUAGUGUGGAAAACAGAUUGGAAUGCAGAGGCUGCGCUAGCUUCAAGCCGUGUGCAAAAGUGGGGUGGCACCGAUGGAACCAAACCUCUCCUGGAAGAUAACUAGAUCACCUAAGCAUGAUAUCUUCUUAAGCCUGCCUUGGUGUUGAUGAUAUCAUAUAUCAUUGUGAAUUUUCGAGUAUCAAUAAUAGGGUAUGAAACCAGUGGACCGCUCAAGAUUAGGGGCCGUGAUUUCUGAUAUCAAGUAUCUGGCAUCUGGCCUUGCCCGCUGCUCCUUCCUUCAUAUCAAAUGUGGUUUGAAUAUGUUAGCACAUAAGUCAGCUUGUAGUUGUCAGUAUAUUGUAAAUUGUUUUACCGUGGUGUGAUUCCGGAAUGUAUUCGGGAUGAAUAUGUUCAUUAAUCAAUAAAGUGCCAAUAUUAUUUAUAAAAAAAGGUAUGGA